AAGUCGUAACAAGGUUUCCGUAGGUGAACCUGCGGAAGGAUCAUUACCGUGCUCUGGGUCCCCCGGGGGCCGACACCCCCACCCUUUGUAGUUACUUGACUAUCGUUGCUUCGCGGGACGGCCCCCUCGGGGUGCCGCCGGGUCCCUAAGCGCCCGGAGAGGCCCGCCGGAGGACCACAACACAGCCUUUGAACGAGUACGUCAGAGUAAGAAUUUAAUAUUCAAAA
rnacentral:misc_RNA from 1 species